UAUGUUUAAACUUAAAAUUAAAAUACGUGUGGCACAUAAUAAAAAAAAUAAAACGUAUAAAUCAAACAUUUUUUUUUUUUAAAUCUACUUCGUAUUUUAUUUGCUUGUCACUUGUGUUAAGCACAUUGUGAACAGUAGUGUUGAUCUCUACAGCUUGAUUCUUGCCGGUUUUACAAGCUCAUACUAUUAACAAUAUUUUGAUAAAACUAUAUAUUAUAGAUUCAAUGAGAGAAGUGAAAUAAAUCUGUUUUUCAUUAAUGUUCGUAGGCAAACCCGGUUGUAUUUGCAUUAAAUAAAAGUACAGUUUAAAAGUGGUUUGAGUGAAGUACAUAUAGCCAUUGAAAAAAGAAGUUGCAGAUUAAAAAUUAUUUUCAACACCCGUGCGUAUCAUUGAUUGCCAGAUGCUGCUUUUACAGAGCCUUGAGAUUUAUCAAUAGGAAUAGAUUUCUUUGUUCAUAUUAAGUUCUCCUUAAAUGAUAUGGCUUAUCAUUUGCCACGUUGCGUUUUUCUAGAUUCGCCAGAUUGUCGUUAAUUUGUUUGAAACAAGCUUUUAAUAUGCAAACACAAUUCAUGUAUAAUAUAUCUUGAAACACCAAUAUGCAGAUGUAUGAGUUACAGUCCAUCUACACCUGACAAGUUUACCUUUAAAACUAGUAAAAAUUAUUAUGUCGGAUAGCAAAAAAAAUUCCAGAAUUGAUUAGUCAUGAAGUAAAUAUGACUUUUGCUGUCGCCUUUGGAACACGCAGAAAAUGAUUAUAUGUAAUUUAUGUCUCGUAUCUAUAAUCUUACAUAUCUAGAACAUCUAUGAAACAAUUUUAUUAUGUCAAUAUUUAGUAAUUUUUAUUUCAAUUCAUAUACAGGUAAAUAAAAGUUAUACAAGAUGAUAGCAAAGAUGACGUUAUUACGUUGUUUUAACUUGAGAAAUAAUAAGAACAACUUGCACUUUAUAUAAUAUGAACUUUUUAUUAGUUUUUUAUUAUAUUUUUAGACAGUGUAAUGUAUUUGUUAAAGUUUUUAUACUGUAAUUUGAUAAAGAAUUAAGUAAUUGCAUUUUACGUAUUUAAUGAAGUAUUUACUUAAUUUUUAAAAUAUAUUUCUUAUGAUCAGAAGUUAUUUUUUUUUUAUUAAGCAGAUUAUAUCAUAACAUUAGCUUUGGAUUUUUCUUUGCAAGAAUUAAAUAUGAACAGAAUUUGUACCAAGAGUAAUAAAACAUCAUCUGUUUGCAAUUGAUUAGUAAUAAGUAUAUGAUUUAAGAUUUUUAAAUUGUUCUAUAUACAGGUAUACGUGCAUAUACAAACAAGUCUUUAUUUAAAACAUCCCAAAAAACUCUAAUCAAUGAUUAAUACAAUGAUAAAAUCAAUAAUUAAUACAUAAUACAAAUGGAAUUAGUUAAUAUUUUAAAUAUUUUUUUAUGUUUAAUCAGAUAUAUUUUGUUAACUAGAUUAUAUCAUAACAUUUAUUUUAGAUUUUCCUUCGCAGGAAUUAUACAUAAUCAGGAAUUGUAAAAUUAAUAGGUACGUGGUAAUAUUACCCACCAUCUAAAAAUAUAAAAUGAAGAAAUAAAGCUAAAUAAAUCUACAUUUACUUAACGAAGACAAAUAAUUGACUACUCACUGUAGCGAGAAACGUAGCAUUAAUAGUAAAUCCUUUUGCAGAGAAUACAUUUUUACAAUGCAUUAAUUGCAGAGAAAAAAGAUGCAACUGUAAUGUCACAUUAAAAUUAAAAUAGUUUUAAAAGACUCGAUUAUAAGUCUGGUAAAGUAACAAAUUAAAAAUUACACUAAUAUACAUAAUUUAAAGGGUAUGUAAAAUAUAUAAACUGAGUUAUAUAAUUUUUUAACAUACCUCUAAUUUUAUUUGUUUAGUAUUGGUGCUAUUAAAUACGUCGUAAACGGUGGUGCUGAUCUGCGCAGCUUGAUUUUUGCCGGAUUCACAAGCCCAUACCAUCAACAACAUUUUUGUAGAGUAAUAUAUUACAGUUACAACGAGAUAUUCAUAAUAUUCCAGCAUUUUUAGGCUACUCACACCCACAUGUAUGUCCAUUAAAUAAUAGUAUAUGUUACAAGUAAUUUGUGUGAAGAUAAUAAUUAUCGUAGAAACAAGUUGUAAACUGAAGAUUUUUCUCAGCAUCUGUAUUGCGUCACUAAUUACCAGAUGCUGCUUUUUCAGAGUUUUUAGAUCUAUCAGUAGAAAUGGAUUUCUUUGCUCGUGAUGGGCUUCUCUCAAAAGAUAUGAUUCACCAUUCGCCACGAUAUCCCGCAAAUUUGUCAAAUUGUCGUUGAUUUGCUUGAAAUAAGCUUUUAAUAUUCAAACACAGUUCGUGUAUAGCAUAUCCAUUUGAAAUACCAACAGAAUAACGUAUAGCGCAAACAUUUGGCGUAAGUAUCCAAAUCGUAUCUUAGGAAAAUAUAGGAAACCUUGAAUGACUACAAAAAAGGAUCCAAAAAUGUCUUUAGCGUGAAUGAAUCUAGAUAGUUUCUGACAUGAUUUCGGUGGUAAUCUCAAAGAAAGUUGCAGAAUUGUUUGAAGUAAACGUAUUCGCGGUCCACUCAGAAUAAAUGUGCCGAUUACUAUGAUACCGCUAAAAAUGUAGAAGCAGUUACGUUCGAGUUUCCUGGGUAUGUUGUUGAACAGAAUAUGUUCACUAAAAUUGAUAUCGUAGAGAAUUAUUAAUUCGCAAACACAAAAAAUGCAAGUAAUGACGGUCGAUAGAAUAUAGCAUAGUUUGCAUGUCUUGAUGGUUGAAGCGUCGAUUUUGUAUGGAUGUAAUCCCAAAAUGCGAGAAAAAAUGAAGCAAGGAUACAUCAGCGAUUCAAAAUUCGUGGCGCGGAAGAGCUGGCGUAUAUUCCCUUUUCUUUUACCUUUGAAUCUUUGAAACUUCGAUGAUGAUUUGAACAUAUUUACCUAGGUGUUACAACAAUGUAAAUUGUAAAUUAUAUAAUCAAAAAGGUUAAUUAAGUUAUUAAUGCACUUUAAUAAUAUAUUUACAAAAAAUUUGUUUUAGUGUAAUUUUUUUUAUAUUUUCACGGCGAAUGUAUAAACCAACGUUAACUUUUCACAGUCCAGCUACACCUAGUGAAUUUAGUUUUAAAGCUAUUUAUUGCGUAUAGCGAAACAAAGCUCAUGACUUUGUUAGUCAUGAAAUAACGGUUGUUUUUCUCUCAUUACUUCCAGAAUGCAAAAAAUGAUAUAUAAUUUGGUAUUACAUCUAUAGUUUUACGUAUCUAGAUACAUACGAAAUGAAUAAACAUUAUCAAGAUUUUCGCAAUAUUCAAUUAUAGAUUCAGAUAUAGGUAAAAAUAAAAAGGAUGAAUAUCGCACUGUUAGCAGGUCAAAAAAGUUAUAAAGUCAACUUAAGGAACAAGAAGACAAAUUUUUAUUUAAUUAAAAUGAACAGAUGUUUAAAUAUUGCAAUGUACUUUAUAAAUUGUUUACCCUAUGUUUACCCCUGAUAAAGAAUGCGAUUUGAUACUGCAAUUGAGUAAUUGCAUUGUGCGUAUUUUAUGUUACUGUUGAUUUUAUUUGUUGUUAAGCCUUUUCGAUCUGCUACUUAACUGAUUAUUUUAAGAAUUGUUGAUAUUUGAUCUAAUGAAAAUUACAACUAAAUGGUAAUAAAAAUAAAAAAAUAGAUUUGAAAUUGAGUCAUAAAAAUAUUCAAUGUUUUAAUACGUACAAUAAGAAUAUAAGUUUUUUUAAGCAUAAAAUCGGAGGAAGGAGAGAAAAUUAACAUUACUUGGAUAGUUUCUCGUGCACGUUAAUAUUCUCGAUACUAUCUUUUUCGUGUUUGCAUACAUAAUUUGAUGGGUCGCCACAACAAUUACACAUCAUUAUUUUACACAUUACGUUAUUAUAUCCCAAGAGUACAGUUUGUCGAUCGAAGAGCACCAUGGUUACUUGAUGCCUAACAAAGUGUCCCUUAAGUCUUGUCUCGUUCGAAGCGUCAAUUGUCUGUAGUUUUGAAGCUGAAUUUGCUGGGUGUAUGUAGUACUAAUUAUCCAAUUCACGUUUAUAACUAAGAUGAUUAUAUUCUCAAGACAUUUGGCUGAUCAUGUUCAAUUUGUCAUCGAAAUUUCAAGAAGUAUUGCAAAAAUGGCGGCCUUUUCAAGCCACUGACUUUCAAUCCUUGAUGUAUGUUUGCCACAUUCUUGGAAUAUUCUCGUACAAGAUCAAUAUUUCAAUCUUCGAGAUGUCCAAACCCUGCUAUAUUCUGUCAACCGUUACUUGUGUUGUCUGCGCUUACCAAUUCAUGCUGCUCUAUGACACAAACAUUCUUGGAAAAGUCGAUUUUGGAGACACGCCCAUGACUCUUGAGGGUAACUUUUACUACGUGUUUAGCUGUUUUAUAGCAAUCGUGACGUACAUCUUGAGCGAACCACGAAUGUAUUUGCUUCAGACCAUAAUGGAUGUCUCUUCAAAAUUGUCUUUGGAUACAUAUAAAAAAACUGUCAAGACCGAUCCACACAAAAGACAUCUUCAGUUUCUUCUUCGUCCUCGUAAUCAUGAUAACAAUAUACAACAAGUUAAAGAUUGGCUUUAUCCUGGAAUUGUACGCACUAUACGUCACAUUAGUGGUAUUCUAGAAAAUAUGUUAUACUUGAAUUGUGUUUGUAUAUUAACAGCUUGUUUAAAAAAAACCAACGACAAUCUAGCGAAUCUGGAACUUCUAGUGAAGGAUGUACCAUGUGUAUUCAGCCAGAUAAACAGGGAAAUCUAUUUCUACUAAUGGAACUCAAAACUCUGAGAAGGCAACAUCAGAUGAUCAACGACACAGUACGAAUGUUGAACUUGGUUUUCAAUUUGCAGUUUCUCAUUACUAUAAUCAUAGCAUAGCUUUCUGUGAAAUUACUUUUAGUCUAUAUUUCUACAUAUUGUACCAACAAGAGUUCAUAAUCGAUUUGAGAGAUUAUUGGUAUUAUACUGUUGGUAUUUUCUGUUGUUUGUAAUAUAUCAAGUUUUAAAAAUAUAGUCGAUAAUUUGGGCCUGCGACACCAGAAUCAAGCUCUUCAAAUCAACACUACUGUUCACGUCGUGUUUAAUAUAAAUACAUUAUCGAUAAAAAGCUGCAGUUAUUUUGUUUACAAAUAGUGCAUCGUAAAAAUAUAUUUUCAGUGAAGGGUCUCAAUGUGGACGCGACCCUUCUCACUGCGGUGAGUAAUUAAUUAUUUGUUUUUAUUAAAUAUAUAUUAGUUACUCUGUGAUUUUUUUAGAUUAUUGGUAACGUUACUACGUACAUCUUAAUUUUAAUGCAGUUUCUGCUGAUGAUUAAUUGCGACGAAUAGUCUAUAAACAACAUUACGCGAAUAAAUUAAAGAAAGGUAUGCAAUCCAAAAAUAAAUUAUUGUAUUUAAAUAUUGAAAAUAUUUGUCUUGCGAUUUGUCCAUAAAAUAUUUUAUGUUAUACAGAAUAUUUAGUCUUAAAAUGGAAUAUUUAUCUCACAGUGUGAAUUCAAAAUAUUCAACGUAUGUAAUGAGACUUUGACAUUAUAUUACUUUAUAAUGUAUCCCAAGAUAAUUCGCAUAAAAUAGAAAAGUAUGUCAGAAAAUGUAAUCUAUCUAGACGAGGCAUAUUGAUAACGUUAGAUAAGUAUUAAUUGCUGCAUAUUAAAUUAAUGAACGUAUAUCAGAAAUGAAGGAACUCAUCUUUAUUUUUUAAUAAAAAAAAUUUGAUAUGAAAUAAUGAUUAAUAAUCGUUUUUGCAUCUCUAAAGUGACAUAGAAAAUAGAAAAUUCAUAAAAGUGAAAAUAUGUCACUUAUAUUCGAGUUUAUGCGCAUUCUUUUUUAUGAAGAGUGCUUGGAUAAUUAUUUUUUAUUAAUAUUACAAAAUUGAUUUUAAAAACUCAUUUACUUGUCUGUCAUAAGUCUUCUAUUGUCAUAUUUGAACCGUUUAAAAAUAUUUUCCGAUUCAUUACACAAAGAAUACUUAGCUAAUGGUAAGUUUGCCGCUCGUUUCUUCUGCGGCAGCUGCCUGCUUGUUCUCUCGUGGCUUUUCACCUCGCUCUUUCCUCUUGAAAAUAAUUAUUCGCUUGAUCGAAAUGCGGCACGAAUCGUAUCGACGAUGGUGAAUGUCACUUUUUUCUUAUUUUUAAUCUUGUUUUGCUCAAUUCAAUGAAGACAAAUAGAAUAUUCUUCUAUUCAUUGCUCUAUAUUAUCUUUUUAAAAUGAUAUGUAAUGUGCAUAAAUUGGAUAGGUAUAUAAAGUUAUGUUUCUUUAUGUGUGUGUUUAAUAUAAGAAAAUUGAAAGAAUAUUAAAAAUGGAAUAAUAAAACACCAUUUAAAAUUGUUUUACAGAAAGAUGUAAAGAAUUUUACAUCGCAAAAUAAACAAUAUGCAAAAAAUAUGUUUUUUUUUCAUAUUUUGCGUUUUUAUUUAAAAAUAUUUACAUAUGUUUCAAAAUAAAUAGAAAGCAUAAGAAAAAUAUUUGUGUUUUAAAUGGAUAUUAUCUAACGUUUAAUACAUCUAAAGCUUGAAAAAUAAAAGCACAAAUAAAAUUAUUAAUAAGAUUAUUUUUGCUUAUAAAAGUAAAUAAUUUUUGAUUAUAAACAAGGAAUAGAAAUUUUAUAAUGGUUAUAUUUUCCGUUUAUUUUAUCGAUAUUAAUUAAGUCUCUUUUAUAUAUAAUCACGUAAAAUUACAAUUGUAAAGCGUGCGUUAUGCGUUAUACGUUGUACAUUUCAAAUCAUGUUCAAACAACUGGAAUUUUAAAUUUGAGUAAUGACAUUUAAUAUAACAUCAUUAUGUAUGAGUACCGUUGGAAAUGAAUUGUACAAAGUUUCUGCUAAUAUAUUAUUGAUUAAAUAAUCAAUAUUGAUUAAUUAAUCAAGUUCUGCCGCUUUUGAUGCUAUAAUUUUUUGAAGCAUUUUUCCAUUGAACUGAUUCUGUAUAAACAGAUUAUGAAUAUACUUUAACAAAUAUUUUUACAAUUGUUAGCUUACAGAUUUAUUAGACAUAAAAUUCAAAAAAAAAUAAAAUUAAAUGUUAUCUAUCUUGAAACGUAUAGAAAAACUUAACUCCAUUUUUUUGUCGUGUUUUUGCAAAUUGUGUUUGAAAUGAUUUUUCUUUAUUUCUACUAUUCAGCGGCAAAAUAAAUUGCUCUUAUGAACAUACAUUAUUACAUAAACGUUCCUUUAUAUCACGAAUGAAAAUUAUAACGGAAGAAAAGAUAUCUUGAGCAAAGAAAAUUUACCGCAAAGAAAAUUCUUAUAUCGUUGAUAUAAUCAGCGCAAGUGUGUGUGUGUGUGUGUGUGUGUGUGUGUGUGUGUGUUCGCGCGCGCGUGUGUAUAAGAAUGUAAAAUUGAAAGAAACACAAAGAGAAAAGCCGUGAUAUCUCUUUUGUAUUCUCCUUUUCGACAUCAUUCUGAUCUCAUAAAUCAUGUAUCAACGAAUAACAAACGUGAAAAUAAUCAGUCUGAUUAAACCGACAAUUUCUUCUACAUACUAGUCGAAUGAUUCUAGUGGUCGUUAACGUGAUAGAUUAUAGUCAGUUGCUAAUAUAGAUAAAUAUUAAUAUUGGACGGACUUUUAAUCACUAUGCUGAUUUGAUCCGCGUCUUUGAGAUCAUUUUUCUUCUUAUAAGAAUUCACAAUAAAAUUUCACGAAGCAAUUUCCGCGUGUAAAUAGCUGGUCUUACUUUAUAUGUGUUGAAAAGUGUCAACUACUUUUCGCAUUUGCGUUACAUGUCGUGAGAUUUUAGAAGCACAAUAAAUCUUUUAUUUCGAAUUUAUCAUACACAUACACACACAUUUGUAUUCUUAAUACUAGACUACUUGGUAUGAGUUUAUAUAAGAACGUCACUUGCAAAUUUUGAGGGUUUCAUGUAUAUUUUGUACUUCCAAAUGGGCGCUCGUAAACACAGCAGUGUGUCACUCUUCAUGUGUGCUCAUAUAACAGAAAAAUAACACUGCAUGUAAAAGCCGAAGGUGUCCUCUGCAAAAAUAACGAGAGGCAGAGAUGAGUCUCUCUGAAAUGAAAUGAAAUGAUCCAAAGUCGUAUUACACAUACGUAAUUUUGGUCAUUAAGAAUUUUCAUUCCGUUCUCUUAUGACUUUUCUCUUUAUGAUAAUUUGGCCACUAUCAUCAACCUUUCUGCUUUUUCUUUAUUAUUAUCUAAUUUAAUUUUUAGUAUUGCGAAGAAAAGGGAAUUAGCGAUCUUCGUAUAUUUAUUGUAUAUUAAUAUUAAAGAAAAGUGAAAGGCAAUUGAAACUCAACUUCAUAAUCAAGGAAAACUUUCAUACAGUAUUGGUCAAAAGUAUUGCAGCAUUUAUGAAAAGAGAAGUCAGUAUUUUAAAGAAAAAGACAUCCGGAAUAUUCUAGCAAUAUUGCUACAAUAUUUUCAGUGUUUCUCAAUAUUACUGAAAUAUUUCAAUGUUGCUACAAUAUUGCUGAAAUGUUCUAUGCUCUAUGGUAUCAUGUAAUUUUAUAUUAAUCUUGUACUUUUAUCUUAUGCCUCGAUAAGAAUGCUUUGAGGAAAGAAACAAGACCUUAUUGAUUUACUUCUUUUUUCUAUAUUUUUGGAAGAGACGCAGUACUCUUAAUCGAUGCUGUUUGAUGUGAUUUAUAUAAUGUGACAGUUGGUAAGCGUGUUACGAAGUUGCAACUUAAGAUAUUAGCAUGUUACCGGUGCGACAACGCGGAGCGAAGGAGCCGUUCUCUAUUUAGAGAAGAAAGAGGGAAAAAGGAAUAGAGAACAGAGAGCUGGCGCUCGCCGCGUAACGCGAAAGUAACGUUGAAUAUAAAAGCGGCAGUGAUCUCGCCGGAAGAUAUACACACGAACGGGGAACGAAGAUUUCGCGUGACUGGCAGCCGAGAGAAAGGCAGGAGGGAAGUUCUGGGCGGAACGCCCGAGCGCGGCAUCUCUUCGUGUCUUCUCAGUCGGGGGCUACGUGACGUCCUCGUUAAAAUAUAACCGCCAGCGCGCCGUGUCUAUAGGGCUCCACAGGUCGCACCAACUCCGCGCGACAGGUCGAUUUGGAACGGAAUGAAAUCUGUUCUUCGAGUUGCGCACAGCUGAACGGACGAGCGCCGCCGAUCGGAUUUAAUGUCGUAACGCGAGGCGAAGAGAGUUCGCUCGAGUUAGUCUUGUAAUAGUCGAGGCCAUUAGGUCGCGACUUAAGAAUGGGCGCUUUGUCAGUUUAUUUCUGUCAUAAACUGAAGUCUCGAUAUUUUUACAACAGAGAUUAUUAGCAAAAUAAACUGCAGUCGUAAAACUCGAUAUCCGUGUCUCUCAAUGUUUUCAAUAAAUUCAACAACGUGACAAUAAGAAUAAGAAAGAGAGAAAGAGAGAAAAAGAAAAAGAGAGAAGAAGAUAGGGAAAGCGUGAACGAUAGAAGAUAAAAUCUCUUUUUUGUAAUUAGCUCUGAUUAGACUUUAACAAAGAUUUUACUGGAACUUUACGAGAAGUAAAAGGUUAAUUUAAUUUUUGCUAAUAUAAAGCUGACUUCGUAUUUGAAGAAGAGUCAUCUGCAAUUGAAUGACUUUUUUGCAAUCUAUGUUAACAAUAAUAAUUAUAACAAUAAUAAAGUCAAGCGUUUCAAGGAGGCAAAUUUGAUGUAAGAAAUAAAUUGUUGAAAAAUAUCGUGACGAAGAAAUAAGGCAAAUGCAAAAA